AAUAAGUGCAGCCAUGCGUUUCCACGCCUAACUUUGAUCGUCCGUCUUAUUUAAAAAAUUUUUAUAAUUAGCAUUUUUGUUGUUAUGAGAUGAUAAAACAUGAAUAGUACUUUGCUCGUGACUAUGUUUUUGAUUUUUUUUCAAAAAAGUUUUUAAAUAAGACGAACGGUUAAAGUUGGGCAUGAAAAAUCAUGGCUACACUUAUU
rfam:Oryza glumipatula chromosome 5, whole genome shotgun sequence.